UUCCGGUUGAUCCCGCCGGACCCCACUGCUAUCGGGAUAGGACUAAGACAUGCUAGUCGUGUGCCUCAGCCAAAACGAGGCACGGCGCACAGCUCAGUAACACGUGGCUAACCUGCCCUUAGGACGAGAAUAACCCCGGGAAACUGGGGCUAAUGCUCGAUAGGUGAAGAACUCUGGAAUGAGUCUUCACUUAAAAGAGUCUGCGUUAUGCUCGUAGAUUUCGCUUAAGGAUGGGGCCGCGACCGAUCAGGUUGUUGGUGAGGUAAUGGCUCACCAAGCCUUUUACCGGUGCGGGCCGUGAGAGCGGGAGCCCGGAGAUGGGCACUGAGACAAGGGCCCAGGCCCUACGGGGCGCAGCAGUCGCGAAAACUUUGCAAUACACGAAAGUGUGACAGGGCUAUCCCGAGUGCCAUCCGCUGAGGAAGGCUUUUACCCAGUCUAGAACGCUGGGGGAAUAAGGAGAGGGCAAGUCUGGUGUCAGCCGCCGCGGUAAUACCAGCUCUCCGAGUGGUGUGGAUGUUUAUUGGGCCUAAAGCAUCCGUAGCUGGCUAAGUUAGUCCCCUGUUAAAUCCAACGAAUUAAUCGUUGGAUCGCGGGGGAUACUGCUUGGCUAGGGGACGAGAGAGGCAGACGGUAUUUCCGGGGUAGGGGUGAAAUCCUAUAAUCCCGGGAGACCACCAGUGGCGAAGCUGUCU
rnacentral:rRNA from 1 species